CCUACGGGGGGCUGCAGUGGGGAAUAUUGGACAAUGGGGGGAACCCUGAUCCAGCCAUGCCGCGUGUGUGAAGAGGGCCCUCGGGUUGUAAAGCACUUUCAGUGAGGAAGAACGCCUGGUGGUUAAUACCCAUCAGGAAAGACAUCACUCACAGAAGAAGCACCGGCUAACUCCGUGCCAGCAGCCGCGGUAAUACGGAGGGUGCGAGCGUUAAUCGGAAUUACUGGGCGUAAAGCGCGCGUAGGUGGCUUGAUAAGCCGGUUGUGAAAGCCCCGGGCUCAACCUGGGAACGGCAUCCGGAACUGUCAAGCUAGAGUGCGGGAGAGGAAGGUAGAAUUCCCGGUGUAGCGGUGAAAUGCGUAGAGAUCGGGAGGAAUACCAGUGGCGAAGGCGGCCUUCUGGACUGACACUGACACUGAGGUGCGAAAGCGUGGGUAGCAAACAGGAUUAGAUACCCCUGUAGUC
rnacentral:rRNA from 1 species